rnacentral:rRNA from 1 species
AUUGAACGCUGGCGGCAUGCCUUACACAUGCAAGUCGAACGGCAGCACGGAGCUUGCUCUGGUGGCGAGUGGCGAACGGGUGAGUAAUAUAUCGGAACGUACCCUGGAGUGGGGGAUAACGUAGCGAAAGUUACGCUAAUACCGCAUACGAUCUACGGAUGAAAGUGGGGGAUCGCAAGACCUCAUGCUCGUGGAGCGGCCGAUAUCUGAUUAGCUAGUUGGUAGGGUAAAAGCCUACCAAGGCAUCGAUCAGUAGCUGGUCUGAGAGGACGACCAGCCACACUGGAACUGAGACACGGUCCAGACUCCUACGGGAGGCAGCAGUGGGGAAUUUUGGACAAUGGGCGAAAGCCUGAUCCAGCAAUGCCGCGUGAGUGAAGAAGGCCUUCGGGUUGUAAAGCUCUUUUGUCAGGGAAGAAACGGUGAGGGCUAAUAUCUCUUGCUAAUGACGGUACCUGAAGAAUAAGCACCGGCUAACUACGUGCCAGCAGCCGCGGUAAUACGUAGGGUGCAAGCGUUAAUCGGAAUUACUGGGCGUAAAGCGUGCGCAGGCGGUUUUGUAAGUCUGAUGUGAAAUCCCCGGGCUCAACCUGGGAAUUGCAUUGGAGACUGCAAGGCUAGAAUCUGGCAGAGGGGGGUAGAAUUCCACGUGUAGCAGUGAAAUGCGUAGAUAUGUGGAGGAACACCGAUGGCGAAGGCAGCCCCCUGGGUCAAGAUUGACGCUCAUGCACGAAAGCGUGGGGAGCAAACAGGAUUAGAUACCCUGGUAGUCCACGCCCUAAACGAUGUCUACUAGUUGUCGGGUCUUAAUUGACUUGGUAACGCAGCUAACGCGUGAAGUAGACCGCCUGGGGAGUACGGUCGCAAGAUUAAAACUCAAAGGAAUUGACGGGGACCCGCACAAGCGGUGGAUGAUGUGGAUUAAUUCGAUGCAACGCGAAAAACCUUACCUACCCUUGACAUGGCUGGAAUCCCCGAGAGAUUGGGGAGUGCUCGAAAGAGAACCAGUACACAGGUGCUGCAUGGCUGUCGUCAGCUCGUGUCGUGAGAUGUUGGGUUAAGUCCCGCAACGAGCGCAACCCUUGUCAUUAGUUGCUACGAAAGGGCACUCUAAUGAGACUGCCGGUGACAAACCGGAGGAAGGUGGGGAUGACGUCAAGUCCUCAUGGCCCUUAUGGGUAGGGCUUCACACGUCAUACAAUGGUACAUACAGAGCGCCGCCAACCCGCGAGGGGGAGCUAAUCGCAGAAAGUGUAUCGUAGUCCGGAUUGUAGUCUGCAACUCGACUGCAUGAAGUUGGAAUCGCUAGUAAUCGCGGAUCAGCAUGUCGCGGUGAAUACGUUCCCGGGUCU